rnacentral:rRNA from 1 species
GACGAACGCUGGCGGCGUGCCUAAUACAUGCAAGUCGAGCGCGGGAAGCAAGCAGAUCCCUUCGGGGUGACGCUUGUGGAACGAGCGGCGGACGGGUGAGUAACACGUGGGCAACCUGCCUGCAGGAUCGGGAUAACUCCGGGAAACCGGUGCUAAUACCGGAUAAUACUUUCUUCUUCAUGGAAGAGAGAUGAAAGACGGUUUCGGCUGUCACCUGCAGAUGGGCCCGCGGUGCAUUAGCUAGUUGGUGAGGUAACGGCUCACCAAGGCAACGAGGCAUAGCCGACCUGGGAGGGUGAUCGGCCACACUGGGACUGGGACACGGCCCAGACUCCUACGGGAGGCAGCAGUAGGGAAUCUUCCGCAAUGGACGAAAGUCUGACGGAGCAACGCCGCGUGAGUGAUGAAGGUUUUCGGAUCGUAAAACUCUGUUGUAAGGGAAGAACAAGUACGAUAGUAACUGCUCGUACCUUGACGGUACCUUACCAGAAAGCCACGGCUAACUACGUGCCAGCAGCCGCCGUAACAC